rnacentral:rRNA from 1 species
UACGGGGGGAGCAAGCGUUGUUCGGAUUUACUGGGCGUAAAGAGCGUGUAGGCGGCCAGGUAGGUCUGCUGUGAAAACUCGAGGCUCAACCUCGAGACGUCGGCGGAAACCAUCUGGCUAGAGUCCGGAAGAGGAGAGUGGAAUUCCUGGUGUAGCGGUGAAAUGCGCAGAUAUCAGGAAGAACACCCGUGGCGAAGGCGGCUCUCUGGGACGGUACUGACGCUGAGACGCGAAAGCGUGGGGAGCGAACAGG